AGGAACAUUGUUGGGAUUAUGAGUUUUAUCUCCAACAUAUUUCUUUCAAAUUUGAUGAUGUAUUGAAUCAAAAUUUUGUUUUCUAGUUGUUACCUUCGGUAUGAUUGGAUAUUAGAAUUUAGAUGGGUAGGGAUAUAUCUUUAGCCACAGCAAUAAAGAAAUUUAAAUGUCUUGAAACAGGAAGCAUGUCAUCUUGCUUGUUCACUUCAUUCGGUGGUCAUUUUCAAGUUCCAUAGGACCGAUAGAUGUAUCCCUGCAUUUGAUUUUCCUGAUUGGCCUUGUUCAGAAAUGUAAGAAAGGUGGCUAGCUUAACUCCCACUUUUGUAGAUAUAAGAAAGGUAGAUUGCUGUUUUUACCUCUUUUUAUAUGUCAAUGCUGGUGCCAUAUCUUGAUGUUACCUAAGCUUUUAACGUCUUAGUCCAGAAAGGUCCUGAAUUUUUCUCAUCUAUAUAGACGCUCACUUUAAAUACAUGGGUCAUCAUUCAACUACUUCCCGUUCUCUUGAUAGAUCUGGUUUAUGAGAAAGAGCAUAAGCUUAGGUUUAUGAUGAAAAUGUGUGGUUUUAGUGAUCCAUUUUGGCUGAUUUCCUAUGCUUAUUUUCUCUCCUUAUCUUCAAUCUACAUGCUGUGCUUUGUGAUUUUUGGCUCAGUCAUAAAUAGUUAAUUCCCAUUGCAUUAUGUUUACCUACGUUCCGAUGUCCCAUUAAAGUUGCAAUGCUUGUGUCUUACCGCAUUUCCCGUAUAAAGUUUACUAGAAUGCAAUCAUGUGUGCUUUUAGUGGGUUAAAUGGAGAUCACGUGUAAUUGAUGUUUGCUGUUCAUGCGUAAAUUUGCUGAUAUUGAAAUUUGGAAUUUGUCUUGGUCUAGAAAGCAUGCUUUGUUUCUAUAACCUCGAAUACUUGUGAAUUUAAUACAAAUUUUUUGUGUGAGGAGUUUGGGAUUAGGUCCUUCAUGAAAGUUGUCCUUCACAUAAAAACUAAAAAAAAAAGGUUGUAUGUUUGCCUUGCUGCUCUAUUCUACUUUCAAUUGACUUUGAUCUCUUCCAGGAUGUUAUAAAUUCACGUGUCUAGAAUUUUAGGAUGUUUCUUCAUGAAAUUUGUUCCUCAUAUGCUGAUUCACCUGCCAUAGAAAUUUUAGGAUGAAAUAGCUGACGAUUGCGUUUUUAUUGAGCCUAUGUUGAGUGUCUAGUUUCUAUGAUGAAGAAUUUAGAUGUGACAUAUAAUAAUGAUGAAUCUUGGGAUACCACUUAGAAUUUGAUCUAGAAGACUUUGUGACUUUAGUCAUUCUUUGUGAACAUAAAAGAAUGUCUUGCUUUUGAUUGUUUCGAUACGUGAUGAUUGUUUCUUUCAUUUGUAUGCACCUAGUCAUAAAUUUCUUAGAUUAGGUUUAGAUUAGGACCUUGAGGAUGGAGAAGGCAUGAAGGUGGUGGAGGUCGAUGUCCAUUCCGACCAUUGUCUUGUACUUUUUGUUUUCCCGACACAUGUCUCGGGUUUUAUGCAUUGUAUAAAGCCCGACGAGUUGCGGGUUUCCUUUC